rnacentral:lncRNA from 1 species
GCCCCUCGGUACUAGAAGAUCUGGCUGUGGUCUUCACUUUGUGCAGCAGAAGAGGGCAAACCUGCCUGCAAGUUGAAGCUCCCACGGGCAAGAGCAAGUGUCUUCACCGUCUUUGAAUGCACUCUGGCAUCUCUGUGACCACAGGACCUGAUACCCAGGAGAGCCUGAUGCUUGUUGCAGGGCACAAAUUUCCUCCAAGACGAUGGGAUGGCUUGAUAUACUUCUGUCAGGAGUACCCACAAACCUUUACUGUAUAAAAAAAUAGUCUCAGGAUACCUCCUGCCUAAUGUGAGGAUGCCUCAAAUGCGGCCACUGAUGGGCAUUCCUCAAACAUAAAAAGACGAGCUGGCAGGUGCCUCCAGAGUCCCUGCCUCUGAGUCAUCCCCCCCCCCCUUCUCUUAGGAUCACACUCCCUUCAUGGCAAAGACUGAGAACACUUAAAUAUGUUGGCGUUGUUUAUAAAAUUGUCACUCAGUUGGCCAAUAACAUAGGAGAGGCUGGUGAAGGUCGAAGUUCCUUGAAAAGCUUUGAGAAUGUUCAGCACUAGACUCGGUAUGAGUGAUGAUUAUGCAGGAAGACUCAAGAAAUGCUUUGCAUUGCCCUGUUACACAGGCCCCACCCUCCUCUGCACCUG